GCUAGAGCUUUCCCGUCGUUUCACAUGCUCUUUCUCCCUCUCUCUCACUCUACGAUGCACACUGAUGGCAUAAAAAUGGUGAAACUUGUUAUAAUGACCCUUGCCCUGCUACUAUUCAGUACUGAUGUCUCCGCUCUGGAAGUUCUGUCCACUCCCGUCCUUCCAAACCACACCCUCCCAACGUCCCCGUCUUGCACCCCAUGUCCCCCGCCAGCGACGUGC